UUAAAUCGAGUUUUACCCCAAUUCCAAUCUCUCUCAAGACCGGCGCCCCCUUCCGCCGUCCUCCGCCGCCCGAAAAUCGUCUCACGGCGGCGGACCAUCUCCAAAAUUCCUCAAAUUUCAACCACAUAACCUCCAUCACCCUCUUAUUUCAAUUCCACUAUUAAUUUCUCCGAAAACUACUCAUUUUCUCCGAAUUAGAGAUCUAAGAAUAAAAAUUCAAACUUUUUGCUUUUGCUUGAUUUUCCCCUAAUUUAGCCCUUAUUUCAUGAUGAAACCUACUUGAAUCAACUACAUUCAACGUGAGGAGUCGAUCAUUUGUAGGGAUAACCUAUUUCAUAGUUGGUCGGAUUUCGGGCAUUUAACCUUUUAGUGUCCAAAAUGCUUUGAGCCUCUGCCUCGUCUCUUUCUUGGCGUGUGUUGAAGAUUGUGACAUGAAGCACUAGUUGUGGAAGAAAGCCCGGCCAAUGUUCAUAUUACAAUUCCCAUCAUUAGCCGAGAUUCUUGUUCGCCGGAGUUUGAAUCGACUCAUUUAUGUUUUUCUCUGGGAUAUCGAAGCUUUUGGCGAUUUCACCAGUAUACCUCUCCUCCUAUUUUCCUAACCCUCAUGUGAUAUCAAAUCUAUGUCUAAAGAUUUUUUCUGGUUCAUUAUUGAUUCAUCAGUAGUAAUAGCUCAAUAAUUAGAUUAAUCGCAUUUGUUAAUGUUAUUUUUGAGUGAAAUUCGAAAUCUGUUUUUCCGUUUAAAUCAAAUUUUGUUUGUUUAAAAUCUUCAUUGAUUUUGUUUUUGGUUAUUUGUUGGGUUCAGAAUUAGGUCUGUUAAUGCAAAAGCCCAAAUAAGAUAUUGGACUUGUGGGUUAAGUGGCUCAGAGGUCAGUAUCACUUAAGGGGGUAAUUACAAGAGUACUAGGGGGUUCAAUUUGGAUAGGGAUUGAGGGAAUCUUAUCCUAACAAAUUGGAAGCUUCUGGAUAAGGGCUGAUAGAGAUUAUUUUGGGAAAAGAGGGGGAAAUUCUGUGGGCAGGGGUUGAAGUGAAAUAAAAUGAAAGUUUAAAGGGUAUAUUUUAAUGAGGAAAAACAGGUUUUGUUGCCCUAAUUCUCCUCUAUAAAAGAUCCCUUUUCCAUUCAAUUAGGACCAGAGAAGAAAAAAGAGAAAAGCUAGAUACGACGGAAAUUCAAAAGUUUUUUUAAGGGUUUUCUUCGGAAGUUUUGAGCUUUAUUUGCUCCUCAACUGUUUCCUGGGAUUCCGAAGUUUGAACAGAUUCUUGGGUGUUUGAUUGCUGGUUUUGCUGCUGAAUUUUCUCCUUUGGAUUUCAAAACUUUAUUGAGUUUAUCUAGCUGAUUUUUCUCACAUUUAGGUAUGUUCUUCACCUUAAAAUUACCUAGCUAAAUCAGUAAAUAUCAAUCUGAGUUUUUGGUUAUUUUAUCUUGUGUUAAUUAGUUCCUUUUUGUGUGUUUGUAUUUAAUAUUCAUGAUAUUCUCUAGUUAUGUCAAUGCUCGUUUGAACAACAUGUCAUGAAUGUACUGUGUGUAACAUUCUUGCCACUCACUUUGAAUUAUUCUGUGAUUGAACUCAUCUACUUUUUUUAUUAAAAUAAAUCAUGGUUCAGUUUUGGUCCUAAAUCUGUUAAGGCAUGACAAAUAGGCUAUAUGUGUGUUUGAAAAUAAAUUCUGUGGUGUUCUUACAUCAAUUUUUUGUUUCAGAUAAUUUGAUUUUAUAAGCUGAAGUGAACAAUGACGUAUGGUGUUAAUGAAUGCGAGCACGUGAUUUUUGUUGUCGCGACAAUCACUCCAAAAGGAAACUAAAAUAAUAGCAAUUGGUCUUGCCGUACAAUUUCUGGAUUUUUACGUGGCACUUUGUUAAUUAUUUAUGAUUUUGGCCCAUUUUUAUUUUUAUUAAAACAAAAUACCAAAAAAGUGUGUCAUGCGUAGUUUGAACCAUAAUCCGAUUAUUAAAUGGAAAAUCAUAAAUACGCAUCUUUGUCCGUGAUUGUUUGCUUUGUUUGAUUUUACCUACUUUAAAUAUUUUAAUAUAUGUGUGUAAAUAAUUGUAUUAAGUAUUUAAUUAAUGAAUUUUAAUUUGGUUUACUUAGGUUUUGUUUUAAAAUAAAAAAUAUAAUAAAAAAGAGAGUGCAGAAUUGGGUUGAAAUCAGUUUGGGCCUGUUUUCAUUUUAAUCUGAGGCCCAAAAUCAAGCCCAGAACGUGUGUUUGCCCGGGUCCAGACCAGCUGACUUCAAGAGCUUCCAAAUGACAUCGUUUUGCUAUGGUCUGAUCUGGGCCGUUGAUCUCAGAAUGAUCAACGGCCAAGAUCACACACCCCGUACCCACGAACAGAUCCGACCCAUCUUACCCGAACCAACCCAAACCCUAGCAUUUGAAACGACACCGUUUCCCCAUCAGUUGAAAGAUCUUGGCCUUCCAUCUCGCCUCAUCCAACGGCUGAGAUCAAUCCACCCAUUCCAUAUAUAAGCUUUCCUACCAUACCCUGCCCCCCUAUCCAAGACCCCCGCCUUCGUCCUCAUCCCCUUCCCCACGAAACCCUAGCCGCCCCCUUUUCCUUCACCAUUAAUCCCGGCAGCCUGGAUGCCGGUGACUCCCACCUUAACACCGUAGGACCACCUCACCGCCCUGAACAUGGAUCUGUUAACCGCUUAGCUCGAAUCCCAUCCCACCUUCCCGAAUCUUCAUUUGAAGAUUCGAGUCAAAACUCGAUCUACACCGAUCUGCCCUAGACUCGUACCAGACAGUUCCCGGACCUCCCUCGUGACCAAACCAUGCUUGGUCCGUGUAUGAACCCUAGAAACCCCAAGCCUGGUCCGUGUCUGUUUGAGCCAAGUGAUUAGGGUCUAAUGGACCUUAAUCGAAUGAGAAACACUUCGAUUAAAGUCCGUUCAACCCCAAGAAGGGUCUGUUCAAAUCCAAGCUAAGGCUUCCUGAUUUUUAAGGUUUUUAAGGUAAGUUUGUUUUAUUAUUAUUCAAUUCAUAUGUGUUAAAAGUUUGUUCGCAUGAUUUGCUUUAAGUUUUGUUGAUUGUGUCCUGCCCACCUUGCCCGGGCCUCUGUACAUGGUCAAGUUCUUUUUUUCACUGAUGAUGUGUGUGUUUUGUAAACUGCAUAUUCGGUUUGAAUUUGUAAUUGGUCAUUCAAUUAGUUCCCAAGGUCAUUUCUGUAUUGACAUUGCAAUCUGAACCCCUUGUUGAUACUGUUUGGAUUUCUGAUCUUUGGCUACGUUUGUACAUGUUAUGAUUAGUAUAGUCGAGUCGACAUAUGUCGUCAAUUAAUUUCAGUAGUUCGAAUGUUAACAAUUGAAUCUGUUGCCUGCUGCAACUUUGUUUGAAUCAAAGUAAGAAUCAAAUAUGGAUACUUAUGGUUGCUGUAUUUGAAUCUGAAAAUAAAAAGGUUGGAUUGUUAGCUGCAAUCUGAAUUGGAGGGCAUGUGCAUUGGUGCACAACAUGUGCAUAAAAGCCCUUUUGAUUAAAAUAGUUUGACAGCAUGUGUUGUCAGAUUAUAUUCUUGCUGCCCCUGUCUGCUUUUUAGUUUAAUAAAUGUUAAAGGGUACUGUCAGGAAUAUCAUGGGAGGGUUGUAUACUUAAAGGUUUGAGUGGAAACUGAAAAAGAAGACAACACAUGGGAGGGGUUUUCUGAUUGAUUAACAGGCUGUUUAAAUGGCCUGAUGUUAGGCUUAUAAGAGGGGAACUUCCAUUAGAAAAGGGGACGGAAUUUGGAGAACUGAGGUUUGAAAAGACAGAACACUGAAAAAGAAUUCUUUUUUGAUAACUCAAAUAGAUUUCAAGACUGAAAAUUGGCACUAGAUUUUGGAAAGAAAAGAGAUAGUGAGAGGGAUAUCACAGAGAGGCUUAUACAGACACACAUACUAGAGAGAAAAACAUACAAAAAUCAGAAACUAUUUUCUUCCUGCUGUUUGUUCGAUUCUCAGUUUGUUCAAACUGUUCAAUCAGUUCUGUUUUCUUUCAAGUAUCAGCUAAGUUUAUUGGUUGGUUCGUAUUGGUUGUUUUCUCUUAGAAUUGGAUUGUCUGGAUCUCUGUUUCUAUACUACUGGUUAUUGCUGUCAUUCUGCCAUUUUCCAUUGGCUCUAGCUGCCUCUUGCACUGGGAUUUGUUUUAUUUGUUACCUGCUGCCACUGCUGCUGUUUGGUAUUGCUUCUAUUGCUCUAACUGACCCCCAUGCUUCUUCUGUUGUAUCCAACAUCCAGGUACAUACUAGAACUUUGCAUCUAAUGUAACAAUAAGAGCAUGAAAUAAAAAAUAUGCGGGAGUUUAAUCAUUCGUUGCUGCAGUUACAGUUUUUACGAAUAUUAUUAGAUUUGUGUAACUUGUUUAGUUUGUAAUUCAAUAAAGAAACACAUUAGGUAGCCUUGUACUUAAUUGCAGUUUAGUUUGUUUCAAAUUUUGAUUUCAGUUGUUUAGUGGGUUGUAUGAUAAGGAAUGCAUGAGUGUUUUGGCACACAGGUAAUUAGAUAACCUUUC
rnacentral:lncRNA from 1 species